AUUUUAAAUUUACUAUGACACGUUACUGAAGACCAAAUGCAAAACUUCAAUGUUGAUUUCUUUGGUAGCGUAAAUCAUCUAGGUCAACGCCCCUUACUUGAUUUUUUUGUUUGUGUUUGUAUUUAUCACUAUUAGCGGAAAAUAAAUGAGACAUUUAUGGCUGAAAACAUACCAAGAUGAAACAAUCCCUGUAUGUUCUAUGGAUUUUAUAUGUGAUAUGUUUUAUGAUUCUAUUAUUUAACGUUGCAGAUGUAGAAGGACGAUGCAAAAGUCACACGACAACUCCUGCACCUACAACUACCACCACAAUUCCUAGACCAGGUAGAUAAUAAGGUUGUGGGAGAAGAUGGGAGAAGAUGUGUUACACUGUGCAUGGGAACCGUUUAAACUGCGCAUGCUGGUCGUGUUACAUUUUUACAUACUCACGUUAUGUUUGUUUUGUUUCUAUUUUCCUUUAAUUAAAAUGUUCGAGUAACAUCGAGUAA